UACGUAGGGUGCGAGCGUUAAUCGGAAUUACUUGGCGUAAAGCGUGCGCAGGCGGUUGUGCAAGGCAGAUGUGAAAUCCCCGGGCUCAACCUGGGAACUGCAUUUGUGACUGCACGGCUGGAGUGCGGCAGAGGGGGAUGGAAUUCCGCGUGUAGCAGUGAAAUGCGUAGAUAUGCGGAGGAACACCGAUGGCGAAGGCAAUCCCCUGGGCCUGCACUGACGCUCAUGCACGAAAGCGUGGGGAGCGAACAGG
rnacentral:rRNA from 1 species